rnacentral:rRNA from 1 species
AUUGAACGCUGGCGGCAUGCUUUACACAUGCAAGUCGAACGGUAACAGCACUUCGGUGGCUGACGAGUGGCGAACGGGUGAGUAAUACAUCGGAACGUGCCUAGUAGUGGGGGAUAACUACUCGAAAGAGUAGCUAAUACCGCAUGAGAUCUAAGGAUGAAAGCAGGGGACCUUCGGGCCUUUCGCUACUAGAGCGGCUGAUGGCAGAUUAGGUAGUUGGUGGGAUAAAAGCUUACCAAGCCGACGAUCUGUAGCUGGUCUGAGAGGACGACCAGCCACACUGGGACUGAGACACGGCCCAGACUCCUACGGGAGGCAGCAGUGGGGAAUUUUGGACAAUGGGCGCAAGCCUGAUCCAGCAAUGCCGCGUGCAGGAUGAAGGCCUUCGGGUUGUAAACUGCUUUUGUACGGAACGAAAAGCCCUCUUCUAAUACAGGAGGGUCAUGACGGUACCGGAAGAAUAAGCACCGGCUAACUACGUG